GAAAGGGUGGCAUUGUAGGGCUCCACCACCGUGUCCGACACCUUGGGCGAGGGCACCACACUGAAUGUGUUCAUGAUCCUGUCUGGGUAUUCCUCCCGGAUCUUGCUGAUG
rnacentral:miRNA from 14 species